AUUGAACGCUGGCGGCAGGCCUAACACAUGCAAGUCGAACGAGUGGCGGAGGGGUGAGUAAUGUCUGGGAAACUGCCUGAUGGAGGGGGAUAACUACUGGAAACGGUAGCUAAUACCGCAUACCAUCAGAUGUGCCCAGAUGGGCUUAGCUAGUAGGUGGGGUAAAGGCUCACCUAGGCGACGAUCCAUAGAUGGUCUGAGAGGAUGACCAGCCACACUGGAACGGAUACACGGUCCAUACUCCUACGGGAGGCAGCAGUGGGGAAUAUUGCACAAUGGGCGCAACCCUGAGGCAGCCAUGCCGCGUGUAUGAAUAAGGCCUUCGGGUUGUAAAGUACUUUCAGCGGGGAGGCGUUACCCGCAGAAGAAGCACCGGCUAACUCCGUGCCAGCAGCCGCGGUAAUAC
rnacentral:rRNA from 1 species